rnacentral:tRNA from 1 species
GUUUAAAUGCUGGGUUGGCUUUUUUGGCCAUAAGCCUUUGAUGAUUUUUGGGUAGAGG